rnacentral:misc_RNA from 1 species
GAACGCAUAUUGCGCCCUUUGGUAUUCCGAAGGGCAUCCCUGUUCGAGCGUCAUUACACCCCUCAAACUUAGGUUUGAUGUUGGGCCAUUGCCCUUUGGGGCAUGCCUAAAAGAUAGUGACGGGCCUUAAUGACCACAGGCGCACAGAUGUCGCAAUGUUGGGAUAUUAAGGUCUUGUCUAAACCCAAUUUUAAAUGUUGACCUCGGAUCAGGUAGGGAUACCCGCUGAACUUAAG